rnacentral:rRNA from 1 species
CCCUACGGGACGCAGCAGUCGGGAAUAUUGCACAAUGGAGGAAACUCUGAUGCAGUGACACCGCGUAUAGGAAGAAGGUUUUCGGAUUGUAAACUAUUUUAGACAGGGAAGAAAAAAGACAGUACCUGUAGAAUAAGCUCCGGCUAAAUACGUGCCAGCAGCCGCGGUAAUACGUAUGGUGCAAGCGUUAUCCGGAUUUACUGGGUGUAAAGGGAGCGCAGGCGGCGCGUUAAGCCUGGUGUGAAAGCCCGCGGCCCAACCGCGGGACUGCAUUGGGAACUGGCGCGCUGGAGUGCCGGAGGGGG